rnacentral:rRNA from 1 species
GAUCAUGGCUCAGGACGAACGCUGGCGGCGUGCCUAACACAUGCAAGUCGAACGGAACUGCUUCGAAGGAUUUCUUCGGAAUGACAUUGAUUCAGUUUAGUGGCGGACGGGUGAGUAACGCGUGAGUAACCUGCCUUCAAGGAGGGGGAUAACAUUCUGAAAAAGAAUGCUAAUACCGCAUGACAUAUGAUUGUCGCAUGGCAGACAUAUCAAAGAUUUAUCGCUUGAAGAUGGACUCGCGUCCGAUUAGUUAGUUGGUGAGGUAACGGCCCACCAAGACCGCGAUCGGUAGCCGGACUGAGAGGUUGAACGGCCACAUUGGGACUGAGACACCGGCCCAGACCUCCGUACGGGGAGGCAGCAGGUGGGGGAUAUUGCGCAAGUGGGGGCCAACCCUGACGCAGCAACGCCGCGUGAAGGAUGGUAAGGGUUUUCGGAUUAGUAAACUUUCUUUUAUUAAGGACGAAAAAAUGACGGUACUUAAUGAAUAAGCUCCGGCUAACUACGUG